GGACCCGCACAAGCAGUGGAGUAUGUGGUUUAAUUCGACGCAACGCGAAGAACCUUACCAGGGCUUGACAUCCUCUGAUCGCUGUAGAGAUACAGUUUCCCUUCGGGGCAGAGUGACAGGUGGUGCAUGGUUGUCGUCAGCUCGUGUCGUGAGAUGUAGGGUUAAGUCCCAUAACGAGCGCAACCCCUAUGGUUUGUUGCCAUCAUUCAGUUGGGCACUCAAGCCAGACUGCCGUUGAUAAAACGGAGGAAGGAGGGGACGACGUCAAAUCAUCAUGCCCCUUAUGUCCUGGGCUACGCACGUACUACAAUGGUACCGACAACAGGCAGCGAAGGCGCGAGCCGGAGCGAAUCCUCCAAACGGUAUCUCAGUUCGGAUUGCAGGCUGAAACCCGCCUGCAUGAAGUCGGAAUUGCUAGUAAUGGCAGGUCAGCAUACUGCCGUGAAUACGUUCCCGGGUCUU
rnacentral:rRNA from 1 species